CCUACGGGAGGCAGCAGUAAGGAAUAUUGGUCAAUGGACGCAAGUCUGAACCAGCCAUGCCGCGUGAAGGAUGAAGGUCCUCUGGAUUGUAAACUUCUUUUAUAUGGGACGAAACACUUUCUUUCUAGAGAGCUUGACGGUACCAUAGGAAUAAGCACCGGCUAACUCCGUGCCAGCAGCCGCGGUAAUA
rnacentral:rRNA from 1 species